AUUGAACGCUGGCGGCAGGCCUAACACAUGCAAGUCGAACGGUAACAGGAAGAAGCUUGCUUCUUUGCUGACGAGUGGCGGACGGGUGAGUAAUGUCUGGGAAACUGCCUGAUGGAGGGGGAUAACUACUGGAAACGGUAGCUAAUACCGCAUAACGUCGCAAGACCAAAAAGGGGGACCUUCGGGCCUCUUGCCAUCGGAUGUGCCCAGAUGGGAUUGGCUAGUAGGUGGGGUAACGGCUCACCUAGGCGACGAUCCCUAGCUGGUCUGAGAGGAUGACCGGCCACACUGGAACUGAGACACGGUCCAGACUCCUACGGGAGGCAGCAGUGGGGAAUAGUGCACAAUGGGCGCAAGCCUGAUGCAGCCAUGCCGCGUGUAUGAAGAAGGCCUUCGGGUUGUAAAGUACUUUCAGCGGGGAGGAAGGGAGUAAAGUUAAUACCUUGGCUCAUUGACGUUACCCGCAGAAGAAGCACCGGCUAACUCCGUG
rnacentral:rRNA from 1 species